rnacentral:rRNA from 1 species
CCUACGGGAGACAGCAGUGAGGAAUAUUGGUCAAUGGGCGGAAGCCUGAACCAGCCAAGUCGCGUGCAGGAUGACGGCCCUACGGGUUGUAAACUGCUUUUAUACGGGAAUAACGCGCCUUACGUGUAGGGCUUUGCAUGUACCGUAUGAAUAAGGACCGGCUAAUUCCGUGCCAGCAGCCGCGGUAAUACGGCAGGUCCGGGCGUUAUCCGGAUUUAUUGGGUUUAAAGGGAGCGUAGGCCGCAUGUCAAGCGUGCUGUGAAAUUUCCGGGCUCAACCCGGGCCUUGCAGCGGAAACUGGCGGGCUUGAGUCCGCGGAAAGCAGGCGGAAUUCGUCGUGUAGCGGUGAAAUGCUUAGAUAUGACGAAGAACCCCGAUUGCGAAGGCAGCUUGCUGCAGCGGAACUGACGCUGAUGCUCGAAAGCGCGGGUAUCGAACAGGAUUAGAUACCCCGGUAGUC